rnacentral:miRNA from 2 species
GAUCAGUGCUAAUCUUCGAUACUCGAAGGAGAGGUUGUCCGUGUUGUCUUCUCUUUAUUUAUGAUGAAACAUACACGGGAAACCUCUUUUUUAGUAUCAAAUC